rnacentral:rRNA from 1 species
UACGUAGGGUGCAAGCGUUGUCCGGAAUUAUUGGGCGUAAAGAGCGCGUAGGCGGCUAGAUAAGUCCGGUGUGAAAGUCACAGGCUCAACCUGUGAAUGCCGCUGGAAACUGUCUGGCUAGAGUCCGGAAGGGGCGAGUGGAAUUCCUGGUGUAGCGGUGAAAUGCGCAGAUAUCAGGAGGAACACCAAUGGCGAAGGCAGCUCGCUGGGACGGUACUGACGCUGAGGCGCGAAAGCGUGGGGAGCAAACAGG